AGGGAGGCAGGCAGGCAGGCAGGCAGGCAGGCAGGCAGGCAGGCAGGCAGGCAGGCAGGGAGGAGGGAGACAGAGAAAAAGAGAGAAAGAGAGAAAUCAAAUUUCCCCAAGAAAAGGGCAACCAGUGAAGAACAAACACCAUUAUAAAUACAACCCAUAUUUAUGUUUAUUUAUUUUCCCUUUUGUACUUUAACUAUUUACACAUCGUUACAACACUGUAUAUAUAAAUAAUAUGACAUUUGAAAUGUCUCUAUUCCUUUGAGGGUAGUCUAACCGAUAAGUGGGGUAAAGUAAUGGGAGAAGUGGUAAUGAGAAGAGAGGAGAGGAAUGGAAUGGAGAGAUAAAAGGAUUGAGGUAGGGAUCGAGGGAAUAUGUUUGUUUAUUUUUCACCCAAUCUUUGUUUUGGCCUCUGCUUUAAUCCUCAUGAAGAACUGGAGCGAAGAGAAGAGAUCUGGACCAGAAAGAGACAGCGAGAGAGAGAGGAGAGAGAGAGGGAGAGAGAGAGGAGGGAAAGAGAGAGAGCGAGAGAGAGACUGGGAGAGGGAGAGAGGGAGAGAGGGAGAGAGAGAGAAAGAGAGGGAGAAAGAGGGAGAGAAAAGAGUCAGUCAAAAAGAGGAGUGUGUUAGAGGUAAAUGGAGCAGGAGGAGAAGGAGAAGAUGGGGUGAGGAGGAGUAAAGGAGAAGGGAAGAGGUGAGGAAGAGGAAAGAGUAGGUAAGGAGGAGGGAAGAGGAGGUGAGAAGGAGGAAAGAGGAGGUGGAGCAGGGAAAAGGAGGUGAGGAAGAAAGAGAAGGUGAGGAGGAAAGAGGAGGUGAGGAGGAAAGAGGAGGGAAGAGGAGGUGAGAAGGAGGAAAGAGGAGGUGAGGAGGAGGAAAGGGGAGGUGAGGAGGAUGAAAGAGGAGAUGAGGAGGAGAGAAGAGGAAGUGAGUAGAAGGAAAGAGGAGGUGUGGAGAAAAGAGGAGGUGAGGUGGAAGAGGAGGUGAGGAUUGAGGAGGUGUGGAGGAAAGAGGAGGUGAGGAGGGAAGAGGAGGUGAGGAGGUGAGGAGGAAAGAGGAGGUGAGGAGGUGAGGAGGGAAGAGGGGGUGAGGAGGAAGAGGAGGUGAGGAGGUAAAGAGGAGGUGAGGAGAAAAGAGGAGUGGAGAAAAGAGGAGGUGAGGCGGGAAGAGGAGGUGAGGAGGGAUGAGGAAGUGAGGAGGAAGAGGAGGUGAGGAGGUGAGGAGGAAAGAGGAGUGGAGGAAAGAGGAGGUGAGGAGGGAAGAGGAGGUGAGGAGGAAGAGGAGUUGAGGAGGAAAGAGGAGGUGAGGAGGAAAGAGGAGGUGAGGAGAAAAGAGGAGGUGAGGCGAUAAGAAGAGGUGAGGAGGAAAUAGGAGGGAAGAGGAGGUGAGGAGGAAAGAGGAGGUGAGGAGGAAAGAGGAGGUGAGGAGGAGGGAACAGCUGAUGAUGAUAAACCUAAAUACAAACAGAACCAUCACAUAUUACAGUCUGAGUCAACCACAGGUGGUGAUAAACCAGUAGACAGUAUAGAAGGUAUGUAUAUACAGGUGGUGAUAAACCAGUAGACAGUAUAGAAGGUAUGUAUAUACAGGUGGUGAUAAACCAGUAGACAGUAUAGAAGGUAUGUAUAUACAGGUGGUGAUAAACCAGUAGACAGUAUAGAAGGUAUGUAUACAGGUGGACACCACAGCAACACAGAAGUCUGCUCCAAGCGCUUCACCUGCUGCUACUGUGUGUGUGUGUGUGUGUGUGUGUGUGUGUGUGUGUGUGUGUGUGUGUGUGUGUGUGUGUGUGUGUGUGUGUGUGUGUGUGUGUGUGUGUGUG
rnacentral:lncRNA from 1 species